rnacentral:rRNA from 1 species
GACGAACGCUGGCGGCGUGCUUAGCACAUGCAAGUCGAACGGAAAGGCCCUGCUUUUGUGGGGUGCUCGAGUGGCGAACGGGUGAGUAACACGUGAGUAACCUGCCCUUGACUUUGGGAUAACUUCAGGAAACUGGGGCUAAUACCGGAUAGGAGCUCCUGCUGCAUGGUGGGGGUUGGAAAGUUUCGGCGGUUGGGGACGGACUCGCGGCUUAUCAGCUUGUUGGUGGGGUAGUGGCUUACCAAGGCUUUGACGGGUAGCCGGCCUGAGAGGGUGACCGGCCACAUUGGGACUGAGAUACGGCCCAGACUCCUACGGGAGGCAGCAGUGGGGAAUAUUGCACAAUGGGCGGAAGCCUGAUGCAGCAACGCCGCGUGCGGGAUGACGGCCUUCGGGUUGUAAACCGCUUUCGCCUGUGACGAAGCGUGAGUGACGGUAAUGGGUAAAGAAGCACCGGCUAACUACGUG